rnacentral:rRNA from 1 species
GACGAACGCUGGCGGCGCGCCUAACACAUGCAAGUCGAACGAGCGAGAGGGAGCUUGCUUUCUCGAGCGAGUGGCGAACGGGUGAGUAACGCGUGAGGAACCUGCCUCAAAGAGGGGGACAACAGUUGGAAACGACUGCUAAUACCGCAUAAGCCCACGGUGCCGCAUGGCACAGAGGGAAAAGGAGCAAUCCGCUUUGAGAUGGCCUCGCGUCCGAUUAGCUAGUUGGUGAGGUAAUGGCCCACCAAGGCGACGAUCGGUAGCCGGACUGAGGGGUUGAACGGCCACAUUGGGACUGAGACACGGCCCAGACUCCUACGGGAGGCAGCAGUGGGGAAUAUUGCACAAUGGGGGAAAACCUGAUGCAGCGACGCCGCGUGGAGGAAGAAGGUCUUCGGAUUGUAAACUCCUGUUGUUGGGGAAGAUAGUGACGGUACCCAACAAGGAAGUGACGGCUAACUACGUG